CAGCAAAUAAGAGUCUGGCACAGCCAGAGCUAUCUUUUGGUUAUAACCAUGGCCCAUUUCUCACCCACACAGAGAGCAAGCUGUUCCACUUGCAGCAGGGUUAAAGAAAAUCAGCAGAAAUGUCAGCAAACCGUUUCACACGCCCACAGCCCUUUGUGUGGUGGCACAGGAUGGUGUCAGAGUCACUCAGCAUCCAGGCUGCUCCUGUCAUCUGGGAGAAAUCAAGAAAUUCUCCAGACACGAGGAAUUGCUGUCCAAAUGUGCUGCUGCAUCCCACAUGGGCACAUCAAAGGCUGCUGAAAGCUCAUCUGGGCACGUCAGAGGAGCUGCAGUUGCACUUUUGACUCACAGGCUGCUAAAGAUAACUCAGGGGAUGGGAAGGGGAAUAGGUGAAUGGACUUUGUUAUCUUCCAUGCCCUGAAUCAUGAAACGUGCUCUUUUAAAGCUGGCUCAACAUGGAAUUUUAAAUUAAACUUUUGGCUCUGGUUUACUGCUUUGCUGCACAAGUUUUUGACCAGUGAGUGGAGUAGUAGUGAGCUAAAAUUGCAAAAGAAAAUCUGGGAAAGUGGGCACAAACAUGAACUGCAGAGUUGGAAGCCAUUUGUGUUUCAGUGGAUUUGCUGUGUUUGUGCAAAUCAAAUGAAAAUAAAUAAAACAGAUGUUUGUGUUGGGAAAAGGCUGCCUUAGCUUUUACCUCCAGGUUUUGGUAAACCUGGGAGCUUUGUGUUUCUCAAGAACAGAUCAUCAAGGCUUCAUCACCACCCCCUUGCACUGCCAGGGACAAAUCUCACAGCAAACAGGGUGAGAUCUCCUCACCCAGCAGUGGGGAGAGCUCCUGUCUGGGGAGGGCCUUAUCCCUCCUGAGCAUGGCUCCCAGGAAAGGGAGAUUAAAUCUGCUUUUCCAAGGUGUGCACACAGGGAUGGAUCACACAGCCUGGAUCUGUCGCGGUGUGAUUCUCCUCUGUCCCAGGGCACACAGCGGCCAGGGGUGGGACACCUUCCCCCUGGGGAGCUGUCACCUCCCCACCCAGGGACUCCGAGAUUCUCGGCAGUGCCUAUCUCGGGCCCAGAGAUGGGUCUUGGAAUAAACUAAAGAGGUUUAUUGAAGAUAUUAGCAACUGAAAGCCAAGACCCCAAGAAGCCCCAAGCAGGGCUCGGGCAGUGGGUUUUAUACAGCAGGUUUGGGGGGGGGGAUAAAGGGAGUGGUAAAGUUACAACAACAAAUUAGGGUUUGUAUCUAGGGUGUUACAUCAGUGGGUAAAGCUAACAAAGACCAAUCCAGAAGAUGUGGGAUGGGUUUACAUAAAGCGGGAAAGGUGAUGGACAGAUAGCUGAAAGUUACAUAAUAUAACAGGAGCACGCAGAAAUUAAAGCAACUGAGGGAGACAAAGGAAUAUUAAUGAAGGGGGUAGGGGUACAUAGAACUGGGUUUAUUAAAGCAAAUAUAAGAAACUAAACAAACCUAUUUAAUGCACCGCCACAUGGAUCAGAUCCCAGCUCCUUGCUCAGAGCACUGUACCAGAUCCUGAUCAGGGCUGGAUGUAAGGAGUUCAAACCUAGGAUUGCUGAGAAAUCCAAGAGCUCUCUUUGGCUGUUCCUUCUGCCAUUCCAUCAACCAGAAACGUCUUCACUGUGACUGCAAACUGUUCAAAGUCCUUUCUUCUGUCCACUUUGGAUUAACUCCAUCUAGGGGUU